rnacentral:rRNA from 1 species
AACGAACGCUGGCGGCAGGCUUAACACAUGCAAGUCGAACGCCCCGCCAGGGGAGUGGCAGACGGGUGAGUAACGCGUGGGAACAUACCCUUUUCUACGGAAUAGCUCUGGGAAACUGGAAUUAAUACCGUAUACGCCCUACGGGGGAAAGAUUUAUCGGGGAAGGAUUGGCCCGCGUUGGAUUAGCUAGUUGGUGGGGUAAAGGCCUACCAAGGCGACGAUCCAUAGCUGGUCUGAGAGGAUGAUCAGCCACAUUGGGACUGAGACACGGCCCAAACUCCUACGGGAGGCAGCAGUGGGGAAUAUUGGACAAUGGGCGCAAGCCUGAUCCAGCCAUGCCGCGUGAGUGAUGAAGGCCUUAGGGUUGUAAAGCUCUUUCACCGAUGAAGAUAAUGACGGUAGUCGGAGAAGAAGCCCCGGCGAACUUCGU